AGCCUCAGGUCCCCGGGAGGGGGAGGGGACAGGAAGCGGGAGGGAAUGGGAGCCAUUUCUCUGCACUGACCGACCUCCACGCUUGCAGCGCCCAUUUCCCCGGAAUCCAGGCGAUUCCUCUGCUUAGUAUUGCGCCAUGCUGGAUAUUUUCAUCCUCAUGUUCUUUGCCAUCAUAGGCCUGGUGGUUCUGUCCUACAUUAUCUAUCUGCUCUAGUGGCCUGGAGCUGCGGGGGCUGCCAGGGGAAGGAUGGAGCUGAAGCGCCGAGCAUCCUGCUUGCUGACGCACCGGUGGAUUUUUGCUUCGGGUCAUUAUUCGGCUCCGGUGUUGUCCGGUCCAGCAAGAGGACUCUGCCCAAUAGCAGGAGUCCGGAGGCCCAACUGACUUCUUCCAGUGUGUCCGGAUAUGGCUAACCCUUGGCAAGCAGGGCCUCUGUGAGGCAGAGGCACUCCUGGGGACAUCAGGAGUUCAAGGAUGCCACUGGCAGCUGCUGCAUGUAUUUAAGCUGUAGACAGGGUGUAUUGAAAAUGUGGAAGGUUGAAAUGUAGAAUCAGUAAAGUCAGUGGAGAACUGCUCAAACAUUCAUCCGGGCAGCCUUUCCCUCGAUCUAAAUGCAACUGCACACCAUGCCAACAUUUUCUCUCCUUUCUGUUUCACGAGCAGAUGUACCCUUGUAAGGUCAAGGGCAAAUUCAGCUUGUCUGUCCCAUCAGUGUCUUUGUAGACUGUACAGUCUGAGUUUGUGGAUUCCCUUGAUCUGCAGCCUCCCCUCAAAAAACCCUGCCAUUUGCAUUUUUAAAGAUUAUCAUUUCUUCCCUCCUUAUCCCAUUUGUCCCCAGCUUCUUAUUUGAUGAGAGAUAUGGUUGUGAAGUUCUUAUUCUUUGUACCUACCUAUAAAGCAUUGAAACAAAAUGUCUAUAUUAAUUUAGGAAAAUAAAUUUUACCCCUAAGGGAGGGGUUUUAAACAUGU